CUUUGGUCUACCUUUAUUAUCCUUUAACUAUGAAAUGCAGAAGAAUUAAACGUCCUUGCAAUAUCUGUCAGCCUGACCAUGUCCCAGAAUUUUUCCAAGGACAAAAAUAAGGGCAUAGUGCAAACCCAAAUCCAAAAUUUGCUCUUCCCCCACUCACACCAAAAAAGGAAAAGGGGCUCCUACAAACAAUAUGCUGCUAGAAUCAAACGUAAUUUAUCCAUGCCACUGUUACGGUUACACGACUUGGUAGUUCUCGGAAGCCAGCAGCGUUCUUUGAGAGAACUUGGGUGGAGACCCACCUUUCAAUGGCAGAAUAUUGGCAACCUUCAGGUCACUGAACGUUCUUGAGGCGGUAAAACGGGCAGAAAUCGGGAAGAACACAUCAGGAUCUGCUGCCGGAACCACAAAUUCCAGUGAUCCACUGCGAUUAGAAUUGUCGAUGAGAACUACAGACCACUCCAGAACAGAAUUUCUGGAAUCAUACCUCCACUCUCCAUCAAUUUGCUGUAUACGUGGGGCAUCCCUGAGAGCUGGGAGAGGUACAAAAAUCACAAACUGAUCUACAGAAUGUUGUGAUUUUUGUACCUCUCCCA
rnacentral:misc_RNA from 1 species